rnacentral:lncRNA from 1 species
GUUCAUCGAUGAUUCUUUAGGAAUACCUAGUUAUCAGCCUGAAACUCCAAGUGUCGCCGUCAAUUAUCCGCGUAAGACUUCUGACGGAUUUGAGCUGCUAAUAGCCCUUCUUGUAUAAGAUUAAUCUUCUCAAUUGCGUGUUGUACCAAUUGUGGUCCUACUAACGUAGUUUCCCCAACAUCGAACCACCCUAUAGGCGACCUACAUGUCCAUCCGUAAAGAGCUUCGUAUGGAUCCAUCUGAGUACUGGAAUGAUAGUUAUUAUUAUGAGGAAACUCAAUAAGCAGCAG